rnacentral:rRNA from 1 species
UCGAGGAUCUUCGGCAAUGGGCGAAAGCCUGACCGAGCGACGCCGCGUGCGGGAUGAAGGCCUUCGGGUUGUAAACCGCUGUCAGUGAGGAGGAAGGCUCCGUGAAGAGCGGGGUUUGACCUAUUCGCAGAGGAAGGGUGGGCUAAGCUCGUGCCAGCAGCCGCGGUAAGACGAGCCACCCAAACGUUAUUCGGAAUUACUGGGCUUAAAGGGUGCGUAGGCGGUGCGGAAAGUAGGGUGUGAAAGCCCUCGGCUCAACCGAGGAAUAGCGCUCUAAACUACCGUGCUUGAGGGAGACAGAGGUAAGCGGAACUUCGGGUGGAACGGUGAAAUGUGUUGAUAUCCGAAGGAACACCGGUGGCGAAAGCGGCUUACUGGGUCUUCUCUGACGCUGAGGCACGAAAGCUAGGGUAGCAAACGGGAUUAGAUACCCCCGUAGUCC